ACAUGCAGUCGAGCGAAUGGAUUAAGAGCUUGCUCUUAUGAAGUUAGCGGCGGACGGGUGAGUAACACGUGGGUAACCUGCCCAUAAGACUGGGAUAACUCCGGGAAACCGGGGCUAAUACCGGAUAACAUUUUGAACCGCAUGGUUCGAAAUUGAAAGGCGGCUUCGGCUGUCACUUAUGGAUGGACCCGCGUCGCAUUAGCUAGUUGGUGAGGUAACGGCUCACCAAGGCAACGAUGCGUAGCCGACCUGAGAGGGUGAUCGGCCACACUGGGACUGAGACACGGCCCAGACUCCUACGGGAGGCAGCAGUAGGGAAUCUUCCGCAAUGGACGAAAGUCUGACGGAGCAACGCCGCGUGAGUGAUGAAGGCUUUCGGGUCGUAAAACUCUGUUGUUAGGGAAGAACAAGUGCUAGUUGAAUAAGCUGGCACCUUGACGGUACCUAACCAGAAAGCCACGGCUAACUACGUGCCAGCAGCGGCCCCGGUAAUAAAA
rnacentral:rRNA from 1 species